GAUGAACGCUGGCGGCGUGCCUAAUACAUGCAAGUCGAGCGAACGGACGAGAAGCUUGCUUCUCUGAUGUUAGCGGCGGACGGGUGAGUAACACGUGGAUAACCUACCUAUAAGACUGGGAUAACUUCGGGAAACCGGAGCUAAUACCGGAUGAUAUUUUGAACCGCAUGGUUCAAAAGUGAAAGACGGCCUUGCUGUCACUUAUAGAUGGAUCCGCGCUGCAUUAGCUAGUUGGUAAGGUAACGGCUUACCAAGGAAACGAUGCAUAGCCGACCUGAGAGGGUGAUCGGCCACACUGGAAUUGAGACACGGUCCAGACUCCUACGGGAGGCAGCAGUAGGGAAUCUUCCGCAAUGGGCGAAAGCCUGACGGAGCAACGCCGCGUGAGUGAUGAAGGUCUUCGGAUCGUAAAACUCUGUUAUUAGGGAAGAACAUAUGUGUAAGUAACUGUGCACAUCUUGACGGUACCUAAUCAGAAAGCCACGGCUAACUACGUG
rnacentral:rRNA from 1 species